GAUGAAGAACGUAGUGAAAUGCGAUACGUAAUGUGAAUUGCAAAUUCAGUGAAUCAUCGAAUCUUUGAACGCACAUUGCGCCCGCCAGUAUUCUGGCGGGCAUGCCUGUUCGAGCGUCAUUACAACCCUCAAGCCCCCCGGCUUGGUGUUGGGGACCGGCCACCGGUGCCCUGCUGCUUCCGCGGCAGGCGCGCCCGGCCGCCCCCGAAAUGAAUUGGCGGCCCCGUCGCGGCCUCCCUCUGCGUAGUAGCACACAUCUCGCAGCUGGAGCGCGGCGCGGCCACUGCCGUAAAACGCACCAACUUUUUUUUACAGUUGACCUCGAAUCAGGUAGGAAUACCCGCUGAACUUAAGCAUAUCAAUAAGCGGAGGA
rnacentral:misc_RNA from 1 species